AAACCAUACAUCGAACAUUUCCUAAUUAGUUUCUUGAAAUGCUCCCAUGCUUCAUAUAAUGUUUCAUCUUCCGAUUGCCUAAACGAUGUAAUGUCAUUCCUAAGCUU
rfam:Gossypium raimondii chromosome 4, whole genome shotgun sequence.